rnacentral:rRNA from 1 species
AUUGAACGCUGGCGGCAGGCCUAACACAUGCAAGUCGAGCGGAGCGGAGGACGGGUGAGUAAUGCCUAGGAAUCUGCCUGGUAGUGGGGGAUAACGUACGGAAAAGGGCGCUAAUACCGCAUACUAUCAGAUGAGCCUAGGUCGGAGUAGCGAGUUGGUGGGGUAAAGGCCUACCAAGGCGACGAUCCGUAACUGGGCUGAGAGGAUGAUCCGUCACACUGGAACUGAGACACGGUCCAGACUCCUACGGGAGGCAGCAGUGGGGAAUAUUGCACAAUGGGCGCAAGCCUGAUGCAGCCAUGCCGCGUGUAUGAAGAAGGUCUUCGGGUUGUAAAGUACUUUCAGUCGGGAGGCGUUACCGACAGAAGAAGCAACGGCUAACUCCGUGCCAGCAGCCGCGGUAAUUC